UUUUUUUCCCCAAUAAUAUAGUAAUAUCUAGGAGUUUGUUUCAGUAAUCUUUACGAGUUUUUUCUUACAUUAAAUUAAACUAUAACUAUAGAUAUCAAGAUUUUUUUUUCUUUUUUCCAAAUGCAUAAAUGAUAAAUCGCUCACGAGUCGCCAAACACUUGUUUAAUUAACUAAGGGCAACAUUAUUGGGAGUAUCUUAGGGGCCUAAGAUACUCCCGGUUUUUUAAGAUACUCCCAAUAAGACGGUUAUUAAUAUAGGGCUCUUGCCUUUUGUAUAUAAGAAUUUUUAAAUCUUAGGUUAAAAACUUUAUAUCCUUAACAUACCAUGCAUAUACAGA
rnacentral:lncRNA from 1 species